GAUGAACGCUGGCGGCGUGCCUAAUACAUGCAAGUCGAGCGAACAGAUGAGGAGCUUGCUCCUCUGACGUUAGCGGCGGACGGGUGAGUAACACGUGGAUAACCUACCUAUAAGACUGGGAUAACUUCGGGAAACCGGAGCUAAUACCGGAUAAUAUAUUGAACCGCAUGGUUCAAUAGUGAAAGACGGUUUUGCUGUCACUUAUAGAUGGAUCCGCGCCGCAUUAGCUAGUUGGUAAGGUAACGGCUUACCAAGGCAACGAUGCGUAGCCGACCUGAGAGGGUGAUCGGACACACUGGAACUGAGACACGGUCCAGACUCCUACGGGAGGCAGCAGUAGGGAAUCUUACGCAAUGGGCGAAAGCCUGACGGAGCAACGCCGCGUGAGUGAUGAAGGUCUUCGGAUCGUAAAACUCUGUUAUUAGGGAAGAACAAAUGUGUAAGUAACUAUGCACGUCUUGACGGUACCUAAUCAGAAAGCCACGGCUAACUACGUG
rnacentral:rRNA from 1 species